GUUCUAGUAAUUUAAUAAUAAAAUAUUGGUCUUGUAAACCAAACUUAGGGAAACCUCUAAAACU
rnacentral:tRNA from 1 species